AUUGAACGCUGGCGGUAUGCUUAACACAUGCAAGUCGAACGCUGAAGGGUGCUUGCACCUGGAUGAGUGGCGGACGGGUGAGUAAUGCAUAGGAAUCUGCCUAUUAGUGGGGGAUAACGUGGGGAAACUCACGCUAAUACCGCAUACGCUCUACGGAGGAAAGCCGGGGACCUUCGGGCCUGGCGCUAAUAGAUGAGCCUAUGUCGGAUUAGCUAGUUGGUGGGGUAAAGGCCUACCAAGGCGACGAUCCGUAGCUGGUCUGAGAGGAUGAUCAGCCACACUGGGACUGAGACACGGCCCAGACUCCUACGGGAGGCAGCAGUGGGGAAUAUUGGACAAUGGGCGCAAGCCUGAUCCAGCAAUACCGCGUGUGUGAAGAAGGCCUGAGGGUUGUAAAGCACUUUCAAUGGGAAGGAACACCUAACGGUUAAUACCCGUUAGACUGACAUUACCCAUACAAGAAGCACCGGCUAACUCCGUGCCAGCAG
rnacentral:rRNA from 1 species